CAGUCGAACGGAGUUGUUAUUCAGAAGUUCUUCGGAAUGGAAGGAUAAGAACUUUGUGGCGGACGGGUGAGUAACGCGUGGGUAACCUGCCCUUUUGUGGGGAACAACUUCGAGAAAUCGGAGCUAAUACCGCAUAAUAAUAGAGGAUCGCAUGAUUCUUUAAGGAAAGAUGGCCUCUGAAGAUGCUAUCGCAAAAGGAUGGACCCGCGUCUGAUUGGCUAGUUGGAAGGGUAACGGCCUACCAAGGCAACGAUCAGUAGCCGGCCUGAGAGGGUGAACGGCCACAUUGGGACUGAGACACGGCCCAAACUCCUACGGGAGGCAGCAGUGGGGAAUCUUCCGCAAUGGGCGAAAGCCUGACGGAGCAAUGCCGCGUGAGUGAAGAAGGCCUUCGGGUUGUAAAACUCUGUCCUUAUCGAAGAGAGGUAGGUAUGUGAAUAAUGUACCUAUAGGACGGUAGAUAAGGAGGAAGCCCCGGCUAACUACGUGCCAGCAGCCGCGGUAAUACGUAGGGGGCGAGCGUUGUCCGGAAUCACUGGGCGUAAAGGGCGCGUAGGCGGUUUAAUAAGUCAGUGGUGAAAACUGAGGGCUCAACCCUCAGCCUGCCACUGAUACUGUUAGACUUGAGUAUGGAAGAGGAGAAUGGAAUUCCUAGUGUAGCGGUGAAAUGCGUAGAUAUUAGGAGGAACACCAGUGGCGAAGGCGAUUCUCUGGGCCAAGACUGACGCUGAGGCGCGAAAGCGUGGGGAGCAAACAGGAUUAGAUACCCUGGUAGUC
rnacentral:rRNA from 1 species